GGGGUCAUAGCUCAGCUGGGAGAGCGCUUCGCUGGCAGCGAAGAGGUCAGGGGUUCGAUCCCCCUUGAUUCCA
rnacentral:tRNA from 9 species